rnacentral:rRNA from 1 species
UACGGAGGGGGCAAGCGUUGUUCGGAUUUACUGGGUGUAAAGGGUGCGUAGGUGGCAUUGUAAGUGGGAUGUGAAAUCUCCGAGCUCAACUUGGAAACUGCAUUCCAUACUGCAAAGCUAGAGUAUCACAGAGGCAAAUGGAAUUCUCGGUGUAAGGGUGAAAUCUGCAGAUAUCGAGAAGAACACCAGUGGCGAAGGCGAUUUGCUGGGUGAAUACUGACGCUGAGGCACGAAAGCUAGGGUAGCGAACGGG